rnacentral:rRNA from 1 species
ACGCCGCGUGAGUGAUGAAGGUUUUCGGAUCGUAAAGCUCUGUUGUUAGGGAAGAACAAGUACCGUUCGAAUAGGGCGGUACCUUGACGGUACCUAACCAGAAAGCCACGGCUAACUACGUGCCAGCAGCCGCGGUAAUACGUAGGUGGCAAGCGUUGUCCGGAAUUAUUGGGCGUAAAGGGCUCGCAGGCGGUUCCUUAAGUCUGAUGUGAAAGCCCCCGGCUCAACCGGGGAGGGUCAUUGGAAACUGGGGAACUUGAGUGCAGAAGAGGAGAGUGGAAUUCCACGUGUAGCGGUGAAAUGCGUAGAGAUGUGGAGGAACACCAGUGGCGAAGGCGACUCUCUGGUCUGUAACUGACGCUGAGGAGCGAAAGCGUGGGGAGCGAACAGGAUUAGAUACCCUGGUAGUCCACGCCGUAAACGAUGAGUGCUAAGUGUUAGGGGGUUUCCGCCCCUUAGUGCUGCAGCUAACGCAUUAAGCACUCCG